GUAAUAAUAUUUAUGAAAACAAAAAAUCAUGGCGGUAUCUUAAGCUUUUCAGAGGAAUUUGCUCUUUAAUGGAUAAAACACCCAAAUCUUACUAAAAUUGGUAAGACAGUUUGUAUACCACUAUUUAAGUAAUUAUUAAUUAUAAUUGCUGUAAAUUUUAAACAAAAAAAAAGUUAAGUCAAGGUGCAGCAUAAAUUUUAGGAUGAAGUGAAUUACAAUGCUUUUUAGAAAAGCGAUUUAAAAAAAAAAAUUAGGAUUUGAAAGUAAAAAUUUUAAUAGAAUGAUUAUUUGAAUUAAGCUCUGAGAUAUGUAC
rnacentral:rRNA from 1 species